GCAGAGUUAAGUAAAAACGUACCAAUUAUGGAUGAUUUGAAUAGAAAGAGAUAUAACUUCUAAAGAUAAGUGUUCUGUAAGACUGGAUUAAAAAUUAAACCAUUUUUCAAGUAGGCUGUGUGAGUCACUGCUAGGGGACGUUUGGCUAGAACUGCAUAAAAAGAAACAAAAGUGAUUUAAUGCCUUGACAGCAUUACAAUAUACCAGUACGUCCUCCAAAUCCCAGGCUUUAAUGCCAUUAGGGCGUGAUGGCACAUCCGAACGUUCUGAUGGGAGCAGGGUUAAAUCACUGCUUAUUCUAGGGAGACAUAGGUAUUAAUCAAUACCUAAGGCUCCUUCUGUCAGCUGGGGCCAUAUUUAAUGGACCCAGUCUGACUGGUAAACUUUUCGCAAUACGAAAAGUCCCAGAGAACGCAUUACAUUUGUAAACCAAGGUACCACUGUUUCUAUUUAAAUUAAUCUAUUUUGUAUUUUUUUU